GCGGGGUGGAGCAGUACGGUAGCUCGUCGGGCUCAUAACCCGAAGGUCGCAGGUUCAAAUC
rnacentral:tRNA from 1 species